GUGCUAGUUUGGUGGCCAGGAGCAAGAAGGAGAAAGAAACCCUCCUCAUCUUCACAAAAAUUGAACAUUUGAAGCCCUAAUCAUGGCCAAAACUCUUGCAUUUUAAUGAAUUCUUGAUCAUCUAGUCCUACUAAGCAUAAGGAUGAAGGUUGAAUAAAGGACGAAAGCCAAGCCAAUCCAAUCAGGGUCACAACGAAGAACGAAAAAGCGACGAAGAAUUACUAUUAACGACUUUUUGAACCCGGUUCAAAAGUCGCACAGCGUCAGGAGCGAGACCACCAAAGGUAUCAAACGCAAACGGGACAAACACAUGUUGAUUCUCCAGGCAUGCUUUCUCAUGUUUUGCCACUUUGCUCGCCUCUGCCUUGAGCACCGCUUGCCCUACGACAAAGCCCUUGUCCUUGAGCCCGACAAGGGGGGAAAAGCAACUUGAGGGAUGGCGCUACUUGGAUCGAACACACUCAUGAUGCACGCUUCCGCGAAGAUACUAGUUAUGGUUUAAACUUUUGUUAAAUGGUUUUUGUUAAAACGGGUCUUUUGUAAGUAACUUAACCCGGUAGUUGUUAGAUGUUGAACUUGUAGUUAAAGAUUAUGUUAGUUGUUUAUGAAAUGUUUGGGUUGUAAACUCUUUUUGUAACUAUUUCGUUAGCUAUCAUGAAGUUAAAUGCAGAAAUUUUACUUAU
rnacentral:lncRNA from 1 species